GUAGUCAUAUGCUUGUCUCAAAGAUUAAGCCAUGCAUGUCUAAGUAUAAGCAAUUUAUACAGUGAAACUGCGAAUGGCUCAUUAAAUCAGUUAUCGUUUAUUUGAUAGUACCUUACUACUUGGAUAACCGUGGUAAUUCUAGAGCUAAUACAUGCUUAAAAUCCCGACUGUUUGGAAGGGAUGUAUUUAUUAGAUAAAAAAUCAAUGCCUUCGGGCUCUUUGAUGAUUCAUAAUAACUUUUCGAAUCGCAUGGCCUUGUGCUGGCGAUGGUUCAUUCAAAUUUCUGCCCUAUCAACUUUCGAUGGUAGGAUAGUGGCCUACCAUGGUUUCAACGGGUAACGGGGAAU
rnacentral:rRNA from 1 species